UUUAUGGAGAGUUUGAUCCUGGCUCAGGAUAAACGCUGGCGGCGUGCCUAAUACAUGCAAGUCGAGCGAACGGACGAGAAGCUUGCUUCUCUGAUGUUAGCGGCGGACGGGUGAGUAACACGUGGAUAACCUACCUAUAAGACUGGGAUAACUUCGGGAAACCGGAGCUAAUACCGGAUAAUAUUUUGAA
rnacentral:rRNA from 1 species